rnacentral:miRNA from 1 species
UGGUGAUGGGCUCUCUUGUAG